rnacentral:rRNA from 1 species
UACGAAGGGUGCUAGCGUUGUUCGGAAUCACUGGGCGUAAAGCGUGCGUAGGCGGCUAAACAAGUCAGGGGUGAAAGCCUGAGGCUCAACCUCAGAAUUGCCUCUGAAACUGUUUAGCUGGAGUGUCGGAGGGGAUAGCGGAAUUUCUAAUGUAGCGGUGAAAUGCGUAGAUAUUAGAAGGAACACCGGUGGCGAAGGCGGCUAUCUGGACGACAACUGACGCUGAGGCACGAAAGCGUGGGGAUCAAAC